CUGCAAGAAGCUCUAUCCCAGGAUCAUGGCCCUGCCUCAGAAGAGAGUGACCUGAACUGGAGGGAGGCCAUUCGAAACGAUCUCUGGAAGGAGGACCUCGACAAAAUUUUGACCCUUCAGUAUCGGAGAACUACCAGACUCCAACCAGAGCCCAUAGGAAAAACUAGAGCUGCGGAUGCCAUCCCUGGGAGACCAGCCAUUGGAGGAAUGGAUAAUAGAACUGGAGACGCUUGUCAUGAC